GGGAAUCUGCCCUUGGGUUCGGAAUAACAGUGAGAAAUUACUGCUAAUAUCGGAUGAUGUCUUCGGACCAAAGAUUUAUCGCCCAGGGAUGAGCCCGCGUAGGAUUAGGUAGUUGGUGGGGUAAUGGCCUACCAAGCCGACGAUCCUUAGCUGGUCUGAGAGGAUGAUCAGCCACACUGGGACUGAGACACGGCCCAGACUCCUACGGGAGGCAGCAGUGGGGAAUAUUGGACAAUGGGCGAAAGCCUGAUCCAGCAAUGCCGCGUGAGUGAUGAAGGCCUUAGGGUUGUAAAGCUCUUUUACCCGGGAUGAUAAUGACAGUACCGGGAGAAUAAGCUCCGGCUAACUCCGUGCCAGCAGCCGCGGUAAUACGGAGGGAGCUAGCGUUGUUCGGAAUUACUGGGCGUAAAGCGCGCGUAGGCGGCUGCUCAAGUCAGAGGUGAAAGCCCGGGGCUCAACCCCGGAACUGCCUUUGAAACUAGGUAGCUAGAAUCUUGGAGAGGUCAGUGGAAUUCCGAGU
rnacentral:rRNA from 1 species